rnacentral:lncRNA from 1 species
GCUGAUCCCCUCCUUGUCAGCUAGGGUUUUGAAAACUGCUCGCCGAACUCUUCGGCUUUUCUUGUUGGGGAGGAGGAACUGGUCACGAUGGUGGCCCAGGUUGCCGGUUCUUUUCUUGCCAUUUCGGCUUUUCCCCGUUACAGCUCUCCGAAUACGGGAUCCACGUGCAAUUAUCCAGGAAUUGGAUUCCCGGGCACCGUAAGCGUCCCUGUUCUUUUGGGUUGUCUUCUUGUUUCCCUGGACGGACGAUAACUACGUCGCUCGUUUUAGCUAGAUAUGUGGAGCGUUUUUCGUAUUUUCAAUUCGUCGUCGGCCGGUUGGGAAAUUUUCCGAGUUCUUUUGGCCCUUCCCCGUUAUUUUCGAGAAUUACGACUUUUGAUCGAUCUUGGAUCUCGAUUUCACGAUGGCGGGGAGGAGCAGAAACUAUGGUUGACGCGGGACACUCUAACCUCCCGUUUUCUUUGAAAUUUUGUCCAUACAACAACCUCGAUUUUCUGGUUACUCGGCAUGUUUGUGGACAACGAUACUUUAAGCAAGCCAAAUAUGCAUUUCACAAGUUAGACAGAAAAUUUAGUCAAUUAAAGUUUGAGAUUCUUUUCGGGACUAUUACAUAACAUGUUUCUCCCAUAUUAUAUAACAUGCUUGUUAUCUUAUCUGUAUAAAGAAGCUUAGUUGUCUGGAACAUAUCAGUUUUACACCACAUUCCCCAUUAAUGGAGUUGUUUUAUCCACUGAUGAAAAUACGCUUUAAUAUUUAUUUCAAACUUAAGCUCAUGACGUGGUUUUUUUAUUCACAAACGCUGACUAUGUAAAAGUACAGUUACUUUUUACUGUCAAUUCCCAUUAGUUUCUCAGUUUCUUUACCUCAUACUACCAUCUACCCUGUACAAUUUUCUUGCUGAGAUCAGUAGAAGUUUCACCUGAUCUGCCGGGGCCGCACAAUCAGCAAAGGAUAAUGGAACUGAGAGAUCGGAAAAUUACUGGUUAUGAGAGAUUUGUUUGUGCUUCUGUAGCGGACCAAGCUGAUUGUCCAUUUAACAUGUUCUAUCAAAGUUCUACUGGAAAGAUUCACUCUGCUCCGAACCAUCAAGGAAAGAUUUCUUUUGAAGAGCCUUGUUCUGUCACCUUAAAGCGAAGCCCUGUUUUCUUUGGGUCCAUAUAUUCUAGAAAACAGUUUAGCCCUGAUUAGUCCAUGGAAAUUUCGUGGAGCGGCGACUCUUCCCCUUUAUGAUGGUCUUUGUUUAUGGUAUAGCCAAUAAUGCUAUUGAUUUAACUGAUCGAUUACAUGCUGCUCCAUCUAAAUCGUAAGUACGUCGGAAAAGGAGAAAAAUUCACUUUGAUGAUUAUCCUCUUUUUUUUGGAAUAUGAUUUCUUCUAAACUCGAAGAGCAUUUUAGGGCGAUUUUUUUAUGGUUGGAAAAUAAUCUUUAUUAAGUUGAAAGGUUCAUGUAAAAGGUGCAAGGAAAAUGAUGUGAUGGGAGUUGCCUCUUCUCUUCUACUGUUAUUCAAUCAAAUAAAUUGACAUUUUCUGUUUAUUUUUAG